CCGUCUGGGUGAUCAGACUACUUUUAACAUUUUUUGGAAAAGGACAGUUUCUUUACAAUUUGUGAAACUGCUUUUCUUGGAGGUUUUUCUCCUCAAUGAUGGACAGCAGGCUAAGUUUCUCCCCGUGUGUUUAAUUCCUCUUGGGUAUUUCAUCCAUGUUACUCACAUAUUUUGCUGGUUUGGGCAUAAAAACUUCAAUCGUUUCAGUUUGUUUGAAACCAGCUGUUCAUGCUAAUGCCGGUUUCUUUCAGUGGAUUCCAGGGUCUGGGUAUCAAGUCUGUUCUACUGUCCAUUAUGAAUUGUGAAUUGUACGCUACUCAUUUGAGUGCUGCUCAAAGCAGUUGCAGCAGACCUCAGAGAAUGUGGCUCCCCAGGACUACCUGGGUAAGGGGCCCACGGGGAAAGGACGUAAGGACGCAAAGGCAACUGUCAAUGAUUAUCACAUUGACUUUAUGUCAGGUUGCAGGGGGAGCAUGUGCUGGGCGUGCUGGUGACUCCCAGCUGAGAGCUGUUGAGGCUUGCCUCUGGACAGGAUAGACUUGGGGAGUCAGGACAACCACAGAGGAAGUAUAAUUUCGAGACCUGUUGGGAAUUGGCUCCAGAAGUGGAAAUGGGAUGAUUGGAGGAAAUCCGUGAACAGACCAGAACAGCAAAUGAAAGGCCUUGUAAACAGGGAAAUGUGCAUUUUAAUUGUUUUGUUUUGUUUUGUUUUUUCGUGUUAACUCUCAAUUCCAUAGAACUAAAGCCACUUUCCAUGCUCUCAACCAUAUAACCAAGGAGAGGGAAGUACAUUAAACCAUGUGAUUUUUUAAAAGGGAAAUUUCUUACCUCCCGGAGGUAGAUAAUGCAGGGACUAUCAAGUGGUGGUUUUGCUUUUUACUGCAGAAAAAUGUCCCUUCUCCCAGGUUUCUGCUAAGCACUCUAAGUUAUUUUUACUGUGAGAAGAGACUGUCACACCACCUCUUGGUAUCAUGAUUUCUGUUGGCCCCUCAAACAGUCGAUUCUAGGUUAAGCCCAUAUGGUAUGAAUCUGUGGUGAAGAUAGUCUCCAAAGCCCAGUAACUUCUCAUUUUUCCCAGAGCCCUGUGGUCCUGCUCCUGACUGCUGCUCUGUGUUCCUAAAGAAAAACAGUAGAGUCCAAUCUCUGUUUUGAAGUUUCGGUGGUUGGUUGACCAGAUGCUGUGAUGCUGUGCUUCAGGGUCCCCGCCAACACAGAAGAGACGGCAACUUUUUCCAUGUUCCUGACAGAUUGGAAGGUGUUUUUUUCACAUUCUCUGCUUCAGAUCUCUCCCUGGAAAGUGUUGCUAUGGAAGAGCAUAUGGUUUUAUUUGGUGGAAAUGUGCAGAGAAAUUGAAGGAAGUCAUACGCAUGCACGGCAAACACUGGAAUUAAGGAGGGCUCCUGACGAUAACUGGGAUACUGGUCCACCUGCUUGGGUGGUAACCCAGGAAGCAAGGGAAAGAGUCAGACAGCCAGAAGUUUAAUCGGAUCUGCCACUUGCUUGCCAGGUGACUUUGGGCAAGUUACUGGGCCCUGACUGACCUUUUUUUCUUCCCUGUCUCUCAAAAAGAGAACAUUACCCUUACUGUGCAUUGCUCUUGCUGAGAGACAACAAGGUAACAGGUCAUGAGCACCAUAGUAACUGCUCAGUAAAUGGUAGCCACCAUUAGGGAGUGGUGAGGCAGUCGCAUUUAUGCCCCAAGGAUAUGGGUUCAGUCAUCAAGCUAUCUUUUGGCCUUUGAAGUUUGGAGCGCUUUGGGGAAGCCAGGGGUGUUCCGUGCUGGCCAAACUUGGUUUUGUGUACAUUUGUCAUCAGACUGGACAAUUGCUGAAAAAUGUAUACCUCAGCUGUCAAGGGAAUUAAAAAGGUCACCCCCUGCAAGCAGUAAGGUCUUCCUGAGUCUCAGCAAGUUGGCGACACUGUCAGGUGGAACAGUGCAGCCCUCUCAACAUGUGGUUUUGAACCCCGCCCCCCACCUUCAUGUUGUCAGCCCUGGUCAGCAUAGGCCUCAGCACCUCUGAGAGAACAGAAGACUCGUCUCCCAAGUGCUCACACCUGCUACCUACCCUGAAUGAACCCUUUGGGAGGGAGGAUGAUUAUAAUUGUAAUGUUUUAAAAUCUUCCUUGAAAUAUUCAGGUUUAAUUCAUGUAGAUCAAAAUCUGCCAGGAAAAUGCUCCACAUGCACUUUGCAUAUGCAUUCUGGAAGAUUCACAGACCUGUUGAAAGGCUGCCUGCCACACCAUACCCCCAGCCCCUUUCUCGAGUACACGCACUAGAGGUUGGCAGAAGACGCUGAGAACCUGCGCGAACCUUUAUCAAGUUACUGGAUCUAACUGGGCGUCUUGUUUUCUGAUCUGGAAAAUGAAGAUACUGGAUUAGGUGAUUGCCAAAGUCCUUCUAGACUCUAAAUGGCUAUGACAGUAUAUCAUUCAUGCGUCUUGAAUAGAAUACAAGAGGUUUCUUUCAGCAUUCUAGACUGUUGAUGUUCUAACCUACGUUAGGAAACGAUGAGAAAAAAGCCUGUAUCCUCCCUCAACCUGAGUGUUCUAGUUCCUCUCAGCUCCUCGAAGGGCCUUCAAAAAGAAGCAUCUAAAAUACAGUGACUCACCCAUGCUUUUCAUGGGCAUGGGGCCUUGCCCCAAGCCGGGGACUCCACAGUUGGGCAAACUGUUCCUCACCCUGUUAGGACAUGCAUAGGGCUGAUUGAAUGAACUUUUGUCUUUGCCUCUUUCUUAACACCUUCAUUAUGACUGAAGUCACUUUUUUAAAAACGAAUAAAUGGUGGAAAAGGGAAGGGGGACCUAACCAAUUUUGUUUUUAAACUACACACCAUAAAACUGUGUCCUUAUUCUGUGUAUAAUUCAAUUGAAGUGUUUUUUUCUAACAAAAUUAAGGGACAUAUGUUCACUCAUUCAGUGUACAUAAUAGAAUGGUCAAGGUAUGUGUUUAGACAGGAAAUGUGUAAAUCUCGUUUUAUAUAUGUAUUAUUGCUAGAAUCCUAAAGGUGAAAAAAGUGUCUGGCAAAUGGGUACUGUACCAUCAUCUCCUUAGUGCAAUAAAUAUCACCUCUCACAUUACAGACAUUAGCAAGUUUAA